UACGAAGGGGGCUAGCGUUGUUCGGAAUUACUGGGCGUAAAGGGCGCGUAGGCGGCUUUGCAAGUGGCGGGUGAAAUCCCUCGGCUUAACCGAGGAACUGCCUGUCAAACUGCAUGGCUUGAGACCAGGAGAGGUGAGUGGAAUUCCCAGUGUAGCGGUGAAAUGCGUAGAUAUUGGGAGGAACACCAGUGGCGAAGGCGGCUCACUGGACUGGUACUGACGCUGAUGCGCGAAAGCGUGGGGAGCAAACAGG
rnacentral:rRNA from 1 species